UACGAAGGGGGCUAGCGUUGCUCGGAUUCAUUGGGCGUAAAGGGCGCGUAGGCGGCGAGGUAAGUCGGGUGUGAAAUCUCAGAGCUCAACUCUGAAACUGCACUCGAUACUGCUUUGCUAGAGGACUGGAGAGGAGAUUGGAAUUCACGGUGUAGCAGUGAAAUGCGUAGAGAUCGUGAGGAAGACCAGUGGCGAAGGCGGGUCUCUGGACAGUUCCUGACGCUGAGGCACGAAGGCCAGGGGGAGCAAACAGG
rnacentral:rRNA from 1 species